rnacentral:rRNA from 1 species
AACGAACGCUGGCGGCGUGCCUAACACAUGCAAGUCGAGCGGAGAUUAUAGCAAUAUAAUCUUAGCGGCGGACGGGUGAGUAACGCGUGGGCAACCUGCCUCAUACUGGGGGAUAACACUGGGAAACUAGUGCUAAUACCGCAUAAUAUCACUAGAUGGCAUCAUUUGGUGAUCAAAGGAGCAAUCCGGUGUGAGAUGGGCCCGCUUCCGAUUAGCUAGUUGGUGAUGUAACGGACAACCAAGGCGACGAUCGGUAGCCGAACUGAGAGGUUGAUCGGCCACAUUGGGACGGAGACACGGCCCAGACUCCUACGGGAGGCAGCAGUGGGGAAUAUUGCGCAAUGAGGGAAACCCUGACGCAGCAACGCCGCGUGAAGGAUGAAGGUCUUCGGAUUGUAGACUUCUUUGAUUGGGGACGAAUAAUGAUGGUACCCAAAGAACAAGCCACGGCUAACUACGUGCCAGCAGCCGCGGUAA